AUUGAACGCUGGCGGCAUGCUUUACACAUGCAAGUCGAACGGCAGCGGGGGCUUCGGCCUGCCGGCGAGUGGCGAACGGGUGAGCAAUGCAUCGGAACGUGCCCAUGUCGUGGGGGAUAACGUAGCGAAAGCUACGCUAAUACCGCAUACGUCCUGAGGGAGAAAGCGGGGGAUCUUCGGACCUCGCGCGAUUGGAGCGGCCGAUGUCGGAUUAGCUAGUUGGUGGGGUAAAGGCCCACCAAGGCGACGAUCCGUAGCGGGUCUGAGAGGAUGAUCCGCCACACUGGGACUGAGACACGGCCCAGACUCCUACGGGAGGCAGCAGUGGGGAAUUUUGGACAAUGGGCGCAAGCCUGAUCCAGCCAUGCCGCGUGAGUGAAGAAGGCCUUCGGGUUGUAAAGCUCUUUCGGCCGGGAAGAAGUCGUGUUCUCUAACAUAGGACAUGGAUGACGGUACCGGACUAAGAAGCACCGGCUAACUACGUGCCAGCCGCCGCGGUAACAC
rnacentral:rRNA from 1 species